UGCGGAAGGAUCAUUAACGAAUUAGAGAGUUGAUGCUGGCAGUCUGACUGCAUGUGCUCGCUUUCCUAAUCCCAUUCACACCUGUGCACUUAACUUUGAAGGCGGGGUAAAAACCUGCCUUCGAAAUUUGUAAACUCUUGUUUAAAAUAUCGAAUGUUUAUCUGCCGCAAGGCAAUAUUAAGUACAACUUUUAACAACGGAUCUCUUGGCUCUCGCAUCGAUGAAGAACGCAGCGAAAUGCGAUAAGUAAUGUGAAUUGCAGAAUUCAGUGAAUCAUCGAAUCUUUGAACGCACCUUGCGCUCCCUGGUAUUCCGGGGAGCACGCCUGUUCGAGUGUCAUGAAAUUCUCAAGCAAGAUAGAUUUGUUUCUAUCUCUGUUUGGAUUUGGAUUCUGCCGCGUUAAUGCGGCUGGUCUUAAAUAUAUUAGCUGGUCCUAGUAAAGGUUUGGUUCUAAUCAGCAUGAUAAUUAUCUGAUGUUGAGGGACAGUCUCAGGACUGGCCAGGACCCUCUCUCUUAGGACCGCUUCUAAUCGUCUUUGGACAAUUUACUCAAUAUUUGACCUCGAAUCAGGUGGGACUACCCGCUGAACUUAAGCAUAUCAAUAAGCC
rnacentral:rRNA from 1 species